CGCGGUCAGCCUAGCGUCCCCGCCCCCCUGCUGAAGCAGGCAGCGCCAUUUUGGGGAAGGGGAGCGGCCAAGGGACCUCGGAAAGCCCUCGCGCCGGUGCAUGAUAUAAUCAAGGAUUAUAAAAAGAGGAGCAUCAGAAGAUUGUAUGCACUUGGUCCCACACCAGAAUGUGAAGCACUUCUACUUAUAGAGGUAAGUGUUGCCAGUAGUCUGUCUCCUAGUCUGGAGUAGGAAGGCUUACAUUUGUUGGGAACAUCUUUUCUCUGCCUCCGAGAACCAGAUAGGAACCAUGCUGUCAGAUGGAGAGUCUCUGGUUUGGGAUGGAGAAGGGUUCCUCUGUUUUGGGAUAGGAGAUCUGGGUGAACUGGAAAAGGAUAAGGAGGUCGGAGACACAUUUGAGAGAGAGAGGGAAACCAAGUCUGUCAGGCCCAUGCCAGCGUUACGAGGGUGAUUCGGGCCCCAUCUGAUUUGAUCUGAGGACUCCAGCUAUGAAUGCAAUGGGAGGAAAAGUGUAAUGGAGAGGGACCUCCCAUGGAAUUAGGAAGAUGUCACCCAAUGAUCUGGGACCUAUGCCAGCUCUGGAACAAAACUGGGCACACUUGGUGCAAAGAGAUCUGUAGAUGGGAAACCCCAAUGAUGAAAGAUUUCUUGUAGAACUCGCGCAUGGAUCCCCCAUUUGUGGUCUAUCGAGAAGUAAUGGUGGAGGGAAUCUGCUGUAAUAUUCUUGAUGCCGGGGAAGUAUGAUGCAUCGAUGUUGACACUGUUCUGGAUACACGAUUUCCACAGGCGUUAACGCUUCAGCACAGAGGGAAAGAACGGAUGCCACCCUGACCGUUGCGGUAAAACAUAGUGGUCGUAUUGUUGGUGAGGUAAAACACUGGAUAGGUUGAAGAAAAUGUCUGCAAGCAUUGUGGACAGCUCAGAGCUCCAAGAGGUUGAUGUGUAACCGGAACUCCUGCGUAGAUCAUCUGCCUUGAAUGAAAUGAUGGGAGUAGUUGCAUGCCCCAAGCAAGCAGAGAAGCAUCGGUAGUAAUCUGGCUCAACAACUGGGUUUGGUGGAAUGGGACAUCUGCAAGAAGGUUGCCCAGGCUGGUCCACCAUUGCAACGAAGUGAGGACCCUUAGGGGUACCAUACUUGUGACCACGUGUUUGGAAGGUAUGUACACUGAACCGAGCCAGUGUUGGAGGCAGCAAAUGCACAAUAGAGAAUGUUUAACUACGUAUGUUGUGGUGGCCAUAUGGCCCAUGAGGUGGAUAUAGGUGAGUACAGGUACUGUAGGGCUUGACACUAUGAUGGACACCAAGCUUCUGAUUGCCCCAAAGCAGAAGAUAAGUCUCUGUGCUGUCAGGGAAUCCAGGAUGCCGCCUAUGAACUCCAGAGAUUGGGCAGGGUUCAGGGUGGACUUCUGGUGGUUUAUGAUGUGGCUGAGAGAAUCGAACAGCCUCUAAGCAAAUAGAACCAUGUUCUCUGUGGCUUGUCAGGAAGCGCCUCGUAUGAGGCAAUUGUCCAGGUAAAGAAAAAUCAUGGUGCCUCUGUGCUGUAGGAAUGCUGUAACUAGUGCCAGCAUCCUAGAGAAGACUCUGGGGGUAUGUCUACACUACCCCGCUAGUUCGA